rnacentral:tRNA from 2 species
GCGAGAGUGGCGAAACUGGCAGACGCACUAUCUUGAGGGGGUAGCGGGCUAAUGCUCGUGCGGGUUCAAAUCCCGCCUCUCGCACCA